GGAAUACAGUCAAAUUUUUGAAGAAGUUGUUAAAUACAUCCACAAGUGAUAUUGAAGAGAACCUGGUUGGAAUACAGUCCCGCAUUCAAGAACUGAGAAUGCUAUUGUGUUUGCAGUCAGAUGAUGUUCGGAUGGUAGGAAUUUGUGGUAUGAGCGGAAUAGGGAAAACAACCCUUGCUAGAGCUAUUUAUAACCAAAUUUCCGACCAAUUUGAAGCUUGCUCCUUUCUUGAAAUUGCGAAUGAUUUCAAAGAGCAGGAUUUAACCAGUUUAGCAGAGAAACUUCUUUCUCAAUUAUUGGAGGAAGAAAAUCUCAAAAUAAAAGGAUCCACUUCUAUAAAAGCAAGGCUCCACUCAAGAAAGGUCCUUGUUGUUCUUGAUAAUGUGAAUAAUCUAACAAUAUUGGAACAUUUAGUCGGAAAUCAGGAUUGGUUUGGUCAAGGGAGUAGAAUUAUCGUAAAUACUCGGGAUAAACAUUUGUUAAUUCAACAUAAAGUCGAUUAUUAUGAGGUUGCAGAAUUUAGGGGUGAUGAAGCUUGAUAAUUUCUGGUCCAAAAGUAAGCCCUAAGAUCUGGUGGGAUUCAUGAUGCUGAUUUCAGAGGUGUGGAGGCAUCAUGAUUUGCUGAUUUCAAGCCCUGAGGGACCUGGAUUCAAAUCCUAAUAUGGCAUCAUAUGACUGUGGUGACAGAAGGAAAGAGAAGAAAAAGAUGUGGGGAUAAGAAUCCAAGUCCAUUGGUUGAAAAUGAAGAGCCUGCUGUAUAUGGAGUGCCUUUUGUAGAAUCCAAGUCCAUUGGUUUCGGUUUUUCUGCUUCUUGUGCACUCUGCCCUGUUGAAGAGACUUCUGAAUGCAUCAUCGUUGAACUGCUUUCUUCGCUGUCUGUAUCACUUGGUACCUGUGUCCUUCUUCCUGAACAUUGUUCCCAGUUGAAGAAUCCAGUGACAGUCUCUUUGCUGGAAUACUUUCUUCAUCCUCUGGGUCCAUUGGUCCUUGUAUACUCUUUCCCUAUUGAAAAGUCUAGUGAGGGCUUUUUCGUUAGAGAAUUUACUGCAAAGUCUGGAUUGAUUGAUGCUUUGAUCUGCAUUUACAUAUCAAAAAUAGCAAAUCGAGGAAAGGAUGAUGGAAUGCGGCCUUUUGCAGCCUUCACACUGCAGUUGCACCUUAUGCAGAUCUCUUGAACGCCAAUGUCCACUGCUGAAAACAAAUACUGUUUCAAGCCAUUUGGGUUGUCAAGCUGCAUUAAGUGCAUUGGCUGCUCAUUCAAUUGAUCCCGGUGAAGCAGAAAGACAAGUUCUUGGCAUUAUCUUAGGGCAAGGUCAACAAAUGACUGGAUGAUUAUUUACAAUGGGUUGUUGAAAGUCAGAGAUUUAGUCUCCCCAAGGAAAUGGCAGAGUUCCCUUCUAGUCCCAUAGGCAAAAUUCACAAAGGGGCAUUUUCAACCUGGAUGAAGGCAGUAUUGAAGCAUUAAAUAUGUUGCUUUUGCACAACUUGGAUGCAUCAAAAAGGUUGAAGUAGAUAAAUCAGCUUUUGAGGUUCAAGCGAAGGUCGAUCUUGAAGCGAAAGUCUACCUUGACCCGGUCAUCAUUGCAGAAAUCCAAGCUUGACCCAAAGUUGAAGGGCAUUGCAGCAAAGUCUCCUCAUCUUUGUACCUACCUUGAACGAUGAGCCUUCACUCCACUUAGUGUCUUAUUUUUUUCUCGUGUGUAUACGUACUCGGUAUAAGGUUUAUAUGAUCAUCUCCGUUUCCCUCCUAA